GGGGAAUAUUGCACAAUGGGCGAAAGCCUGAUGCAGCGACGCCGCGUGAGCGAAGAAGUAUUUCGGUAUGUAAAGCUCUAUCAGCAGGGAAGAUAAUGACGGUACCUGACUAAGAAGCACCGGCUAAAUACGUGCCAGCAGCCGCGGUAAUACGUAUGGUGCAAGCGUUAUCCGGAUUUACUGGGUGUAAAGGGAGCGCAGGCGGUGCGGCAAGUCUGAUGUGAAAGCCCGGGGCUCAACCCCGGUACUGCAUUGGAAACUGUCGUACUAGAGUGUCGGAGGGGUAAGCGGAAUUCCUAGUGUAGCGGUGAAAUGCGUAGAUAUUAGGAGGAACACCAGUGGCGAAGGCGACCUACUGGGCACCAACUGACGCUGAGGCUCGAAAGCAUGGGUAGCAAACAGGAUUAGAUACCCUGGUAGUCCAUGCCGUAAACGAUGAUUACUAGGUGUUGGAGGAUUGACCCCUUCAGUGCCGCAGUUAACACAAUAAGUAAUCCACCUGGGGAGUACGACCGCAAGGUUGAAACUCAAAGGAAUUGACGGGGGCCCGCACAAGCAGUGGAGUAUGUGGUUUAAUUCGAAGCAACGCGAAGAACCUUACCAAAUCUUGACAUCCCUCUGACCGGCGAGUAAUGUCGCCUUUCCUUCGGGACAGAGGAGACAGGUGGUGCAUGGUUGUCGUCAGCUCGUGUCGUGAGAUGUUGGGUUAAGUCCCGCAACGAGCGCAACCCUUAUCCUAAGUAGCCAGCAGUUCGGCUGGGCACUCUUGGGAGACUGCCAGGGAUAACCUGGAGGAAGGUGGGGAUGACGUCAAAUCAUCAUGCCCCUUAUGAUUUGGGCUACACACGUGCUACAAUGGCGUAAACAAAGGGAAGCGAUCACGCGAGUGUGAGCAAAUCUCAAAAAUAACGUCUCAGUUCGGAUUGUAGUCUGCAACUCGACUACAUGAAGCUGGAAUCGCUAGUAAUCGCAGGUCAGCAUACUGCGGUGAAUACGUUCCCG
rnacentral:rRNA from 1 species